UUUGCAAUUACCAGCGGUUCCUGCCAGUUAGGCCCAACCUAAUCUGGAAUACCCAGAACAAAAUCUUGCAUGAACAUAACUCUCAUAACCUCUGUGCUCCCGACAGACGUAACAUGUUGGUUACAGAUCUUAGGACAGAUAUGCCCACCCAGAUCAGUCUUAUCUACACCUGCAAUUGGAGCACAUUACAAACCUAUGACAGCUAUAGGUAUGAUAGUGUAUAUGAAAAUGAUGCACCAUCACAGAAGGGUCAUAGGUGGGAGCUAUUGUUUCACCAUAAAAGGAGAGAGGGGAGACACAAAAUACAGUGUGUCACUCUCACACUCACUACUGUGGCAUUGCCUGAGUCAUUAUCUACAGCCAACAGCUCCUGUGUAUAUUUCUAAAAACAUUUUCGAGAGCAUGUGAAUAUAGUCGCCCCCGAAAGCAUUUCUCAUUUCCAUAUAUCCUGUUUCACAUCUCUCUCUGUAUUAUACAUAAUAACAGGUGGCAGGUUUAAAGAACUCUUAACCGUGAUCCAAUGAAUGUGCUGCUGGUGCCUUAUGUUUGUACUUUUGGUUGGAAUGACAAUGAACGACAUUUCUUGUCGUCUCUCUUGACCUACAGUUAACAGAUGCAGGAACAAGGAGAAACAGACAAACACUUGGAUUACCCAGAAGAAGCACCAGAUCUCAGAAGGUGAAGAUGAUUUGUGCUAUGCCACCUUGUCCCAUGCUGGUGCUCCUCCAUCCUACUCAGUCAAGUUUGAACAAGGCCAUGACUAUGCCACAGUGGUCAUAUACUGACCAGCAUUGCCGAACUGAAUGGACAUGAAAGGACUUCCAAAUGGAUAGAUUGCUUGACUUUAACACCUACAUUUCAAUUUUCUUUCCAAGAAAUCAUUUGCAUAAAUCUAUUUGCAAUGUAGUUUUGAUUAUCCAAUUUGUCACAUUAAGAGAACAAUAAAGUUUUUGUAUUCCA
ensembl:lncRNA